CCUACGGGGUGCAGCAGUGGGGGAUAGUGCACAAUGGGGGAAACCCUGAUGCAGCGACGCCGCGUGGGCGAAGAAGUAUUUCGGGAUGUAAAGCACUAUCAGAAGGGAAGAAGAAAUGACGGUACCUGAGUAAGAAGCACCGGCUAAAUACGUGCCAGCAGCCGCGGUAAUACGUAGGGUGCAAGCGUAAGCCGGAUUGACUGGGGGUAAAGGGAGGUCAGGGGGCACGGCAAGCCUGAUGUGAAAGCCCGCGGCCCAACCGCGGGACUGCAUUGGGAACGAACGGGCUGGGGUGCCGGAGAGGUAGGCGGAAUUCCUAGUGUAGCGGUGAAAUGCGUAGAUAUUAGGAGGAACACUAGUGGCGAAGGCGGCCUACUGGACGGUGACUGACGCUGAGGCUCGAAAGCGUGGGGAGCAAACAGGAUUAGAUACCCGGGUAGUC
rnacentral:rRNA from 1 species